GAUGAACGCUGGCGGCGUGCUUAACACAUGCAAGUCGAACGGUGAAGCAGGAGCUUGCUCCUGUGGAUCAGUGGCGAACGGGUGAGUAACACGUGAGCAAUCUGCCCUGGACUCUGGGAUAAGCGUUGGAAACGACGUCUAAUACCGGAUACGAGGCGUGGGGGCAUCCCCAACGCCUGGAAAGAACUUCGGUCCAGGAUGAGCUCGCGGCCUAUCAGGUAGUUGGUGAGGUAACGGCUCACCAAGCCUACGACGGGUAGCCGGCCUGAGAGGGUGACCGGCCACACUGGGACUGAGACACGGCCCAGACUCCUACGGGAGGCAGCAGUGGGGAAUAUUGCACAAUGGGCGCAAGCCUGAUGCAGCAACGCCGCGUGAGGGACGACGGCCUUCGGGUUGUAAACCUCUUUUAGCAGGGAAGAAGCGAAAGUGACGGUACCUGCAGAAAAAGCACCGGCUAACUACGUGCCAGCAGCCGCCGUAACAC
rnacentral:rRNA from 1 species